rnacentral:rRNA from 1 species
AUGUGUGUUUCAGACAUAACAUUUCUGAAUCUAAUAGCACUAAUAGAGACAGCAGGCUAUGGAGAGGAUGACUACAUGUACUUUGUUAGGGAUGCUGGCUUGGGAGUAGCUGGUUUGGAAGAGAUAUAUGAUGAUGACAAGGUUAAUGAGAUGCUAGACCACAUUGCCAACAGAGAUCAGACCAUAGUUAAUCUGACAGUAGUUAGGGGUAGUGAGCCCAGACCUGGAGAUUUAAACAUAAGUCAUGUUUGUGAGCAGCAGGUCCCUAUAGAUAGUGUUGGCGAGAGGACUGUGUAUGAGGUCAGUGAUGAAGGUGUGGUGUACAGGUCACCAUCCAAAAAAACAAGGAGAGUUGCACAAGUUGAUGAGCAGGAGGCACAUCCAAUACAAUUUUACUCCAGAGAGCAGAGCACACAUGAGAUGUUGAUUUGGAGCAAGAGGAGUUGGAAAGAAGUAUGGAGCUUAAGAGGAGGAAUAAAAUACAGAGGUAUAAGAAGCAUAAGAAGAGUGUUGAGAGGGUGGAGGCAAUUAAAAGAAAACUUCCUGUUUUACUAA